rnacentral:rRNA from 1 species
UACGGAGGAGUCAAGCGUUAUCCGGAAUUAUUGGGCGUAAAGCGUCCGUAGGUGGCACUUCAAGUCUGUCGUCAAAGACUGGGGCUUAACCCUGGAAAGGCGGUGGAAACUGAAGCGCUAGAGUGCGGUAGGGGUAGAGGGAAUUCCCGGUGUAGCGGUGAAAUGCGUAGAGAUCGGGAAGAACAUCGGUGGCGAAAGCGCUCUACUGGACCGCAACUGACACUCAGGGACGAAAGCUAGGGGAGCGAAUGGG